rnacentral:ncRNA from 2 species
AGCAGCCGCGGUAAUUCCAGCUCCAAUAGCGUAUAUUAAAGUUGUUGCAGUUAAAAAGCUCGUAGUUGAAUUUCGGGGUUAGCAGGUCGGUCGUGCCAUCGGUAUGAACUGGUCUCGCUGAUCCCUCCCUCUUGACGAACUGUGAUGCCAUUAAUUUGGUGUCGCAGGGAAUCAGGACUGUUACUUUGAAAAAAUUAGAGUGUUUAAAGCAGGCUCACGCUUGAAUACAUUAGCAUGGAAUAAUGAAAUAGGACGUUUGAUCCUAUUUUGUUGGCUUCUAGGAUUGACGUAAUGAUUAAUAGGGAUAGUUGGGGGCAUUAGUAUUCAAUUGUCAGAGGUGAAAUUCUUGGAUUUAUUGAAGACUAACUACUGCGAAAGCAUUUGCCAAGGAUGUUUUCAUUAAUCAAGAACGAAAGUUAGGGGAUCGAAGACGAUCAGAUACCGUCGUAGUCUUAACCAUAAACUAUGCCGACUAGGGAUCGGAUGAUGUUAAUUUUUUCAAUGACUCAUUCGGCGCCUU